rnacentral:sRNA from 1 species
AUCUGUCAUGUUGAGAGAGAGUUGUUGAUGAAUAUUGAUAAUUUUACAUACUUUGCAUAUUCUCAAUCCCCUCUCCUCUUCUUCAGAUUCUU